CCUACGGGUGGCAGCAGUAGGGAAUCUUUCACAAUGGGCGAAAGCCUGAUGGAGCAACGCCGCGUGCAGGAUGAAGGCCUUCGGGUUGUAAACUGCUUUUAUAAGCGAGAAAUAUGAUGGUAACUUAUGAAUAAGGAUCGGCUAACUACGUGCCAGCAGCCGCGGUCAUACGUAGGAUCCGAGCAUUAUCCGGAGUGACUGGGUGUAAAGAGUUGCGUAGGUGGCAUAGUAAGUAGCUAGUGAAAUCUGGUGGCUCAACCAUUCAGACUAUUAGCGAAACUGUUAAGCUCGAGACCGUUAGGGGUAACUGGAAGUUCUAGUGUAGGAGUGAAAUCCGUAGAUAUUAGAAGGAACACCAAUAGCGUAGGCAGGUUGCUGGGACGGUUCUGACACUAAGGCACGAAAGCGUAGGGAGCAAACGGGAUUAGAUACCCCAGUAGUC
rnacentral:rRNA from 1 species